UACACUCUUCCCCUCACCCCUGUAUCGUCACGCUAACGUGAUUGACGCAUCCGAGUAACGACCACAGCAAAGUUCGUUUUAGAAUACGUCAAAGUAAGAAGAUGGAGAAACAAAGGCUCCUUAAAAGAAUUAAGGAGCUGAAGGAGGAGGUCAAAUUCUACAAAAUGGAAGUAAAAAUGGGUUUGAGUAGUUUAAAAAACAUUAUUUGCAAAGACUAUGAAAGCUGGAGUAAAGAGAAUCUAAUUAU